rnacentral:rRNA from 1 species
GGACGAACGCUGGCGGCGUGCUUAACACAUGCAAGUCGAACGGAGGUAGCAAUACCUCAGUGGCGAACGGGUGCGUAACACGUGAGGAACUUGUCCAUCGGCGGGGGAUAGCCGGGCCCAACGGCCGGGUAAUACCGCGUACGCCGGCGGAAGCGCAUGCUUCUGCCGGGAAAGCAGCAAUGGCACCGAUGGAGAGCCUCGGCGGCCUAUCAGCUUGUUGGCGGGGUAAUGGCCCACCAAGGCAACGACGGGUAGCUGGUCUGAGAGGAUGAUCAGCCACAUUGGGACUGA